AAAGUUUCCGUAGGUGAACCUGCGGAAGGAUCAUUA
rnacentral:rRNA from 1 species